GCUGGUGUUUUUGCCGGUUGAACGACCUCACCAUGUCGACCGCCUCUUCCUUGACAGGUAUCAGGAAGAAAAGAUCUGCUCGUGCCAUGUUGAGGUCGUUCAACCAGCAAAACGGCGGC
rnacentral:pre_miRNA from 1 species